rnacentral:miRNA from 1 species
UGAGGAAGUAAACUUGGACU